rnacentral:rRNA from 1 species
AACGAACGCUGGCGGCGUGGAUUAGGCAUGCAAGUCGCACGUGAAAGGGGGGCUUGCUCCCUGAGUAAAGUGGCGAACGGGUGAGUAACGCGUGAGAAACCUGCCUUGUAGAGGGGAAUAACACUCCCAACGGAGUGCUAAUACCGCAUGUGCCCGAUGGAUCGCAUGGUCCGUCGUGGAAAGGUGGCCUCUGCUCGCAAGCUAUCGCUACAAGAGGGUCUCGCGUCCGAUUAGCUAGUUGGCGGGGUAAUGGCCCACCAAGGCGACGAUCGGUAGCUGGUCUGAGAGGAUGGUCAGCCACACUGGGACUGAGAUACGGCCCAGACUCCUACGGGUGGCUG